UUUGUGGUCAUUAAACUAAUUCAUCACCACAUUGUUUCUAUGAACAUACUAAUAUUUUCAAUGAUUGAUAACUCUGAUUUGUAUUCAAUCUUUGUUUGGGUUUUUGGAUGAAACCGUCUUUGAGUGAUGUAGUGGAGAAUGAUAGCCAUUUUGUUGUUGAUUGGGCUAAAUUUAUUCCAUUUGAUUUUGUGCUACAUGUUUCGUUAUUGGUUCCCGUAUUAUUUUAUUGUCAGGUAGUUGAUUGGAUUGAAGUCCUAGAUAUAGUGACUCCAGUAUGUUAUCGGCCCGAUGGACAGGUAUUAUUUUUAAAAACAAUUUCAAUUCAAUUUGAAAAAUAUACUAUUGAUAUAAAGGAAAUGAUUUCAUUUGUAUAAUAUGAUGCAUAACAGGGAUGGAUUGUUGGUUCUUUGGCAGGAAACUGUCGGUUAUAUAAAAUAUCAUGAUGCACUUCAAUUUUCAAGUAUUAUUGUUAUUUUUUUUACUUGGCUGCUGGAGAUUUGAUUGACAAGAAAGAUAUAUAUAUAUAUAUAUAUAUAUAUAUAUAUAUAUAUAUAUAUAUAUAUAUAUAUAUAUAUAUAUAUAUAUAUAUAUAUCGAAGAAGAUUUUCUGGAAAUGGAGAAUGGGCGAAUCGUAAGUAAUGGAGAGGACGAUAUGAUGACAACAGUUAAAUGGCCAAUUCUUAUUUGGAAGAACACAACAAGCAAGAACAUAUCAUAAGUACCAAUAUUUCAACUCUAUCCAAGGAAAAACUUGUAUUUGUUUGGUUAUAUUGAUGCUAACACAAAUAAACUGUGUCUUUAUCAAUUUGUUUCAGCGCUUGCUAUGGUGUUUUGAGAUUUGUCAUGGAGAGUGGUGCCAAGGGAUUGCGAGGUUAGUGAUAAAUAUACAACUUUGAGCUCCUGUUUGUUAUGUUGCUUUCUUUAAUGACUAUUUGUUGUUAUUGUUGUUUCAUUUGAGCAUGUCAUUAUCAGUGGAAAAAUAAGAGCUCAGAGAUCUAAAUCCAUGAAGUUCAAAGAUGGUUACAUAAUUUAUUCUCGACUGCCAGCCAAGGACUACAUUUACUCUGCAGUGAGACAUGUCGUGUGUUAAUGUUUGGCUUUUCAGUAACUUUGUUACUUUGUUUGCAGACCAUAAAAUACUUACUUUUGCAGCCUGAAAUAAGAGCAACAACAAUUACUUUGAACAGGUCAAGUUUCACAUUUUUGGAGUUGUUAAAGCUCUGCCCAAGAGAUUUUAUUAGCCUUAAAAUUGAAGGAAUGUUAACUGAAACAUGGGUUCAAGGGAAACAUUGAUGUUAGUGGAUAUUAUUAUCGCAAUGAUGACUUUUCACUCAACAAUAAGUCCUCCAAGUUGUGCUGCUUCUUAUAAGUGGGUUCCCCCUUAAGAACAACAUACUUAAUGGGAGUCUUGACUAUCGCUAUGACCGUCGCAGUCAUAUUCAUGGCACUCACAUGCGUGUUUGCGGAGGGUUUGGUAAAGGAUUUUAUCAGAAGUCAGAACUCAUCAUCAGAUUGAUGUAAUUGGAAUGGUUUAUAGCAUUGGAUGUUUGCACACACAGUCAGGAGCAAGUUAAUUUAGUGCUACGUGACCUCGGGUAUAUGGUAUAUUUACUCCCAAACAACACCGUCACUUGAUUGUAAAUUGACUUCAGGUUUCAUACAUAAUAUCAUGUGCUCUUUUUAUAGCAACAACACUGUCAACUGCACUCUUUGGGAUUCGUAUGCCGACCAAUUCAUCAAGUUUAUCCAGGACUGUGUCAAUGCGUCUGGUCCAACAGUGGUUUUGCUUCAAUAUGCAAAAGUGAAGGAAGAGAGUUAGUUAUGUUGCUAUUAAAUGGCCGAUGCUUUUAACUGCUCACACUUAUGUGUUACUUGAUUAAUGUAGGGAAGUUUCCGAUGUCCGUCACAAACACCUACAAUGUUACCAUGCUUCACCUUGAUGCUGAUUUUCUUCCAAUCAAAGAGUUUAUAGACAGCAUCCCUAAAGAGGCUUUGGAGUCAAAAAUCUGAUACAGACCCUUAGCAGAAGAUGAUCCAUGAAGAACGUGGUUUCUCUUACUUGGUUAGUGAUGCUAAUUUUGUAUUGUAAUUGUUUAGAUAGAAUUACCUUUCCUCUUGCAACAAAUAUGUAUAUGUAUAGAAAUAUAUAUAACGUGCAAAACUGUGAUUGUUUAAGUAUCUGCAUUUUAACAUUCUGGCCAUGUUCUUGCUUUAUACAUUUAUAUCCAAGGCAUCAAUUUUAUUGCCCAGUCGAGUUUUAAUUAAAUUCUUUGGUUGAUGUCCAUGAACUUCUGGUUUUGGUAAAGAAUGCAGACUAUCAUUCUUGACGGUGCUGGAGAUAAGAAAGCUACUGAGGAAAGAUGUCAGCAGGUUUGUUUAAAUCUCCUAUUCAAUUUGAUUUUACCAUUUUCAUAUAGAUCUAGGUUUGGUUUUUCAAUGAUGUUUCUUAUGAUUUGUUUCACGCUAUGAAUUUUGAUUUAUAGAUUAAGUCUGCAGUUGAAAAUUGGAUUUCAAAUUAUGACAAGGAGAAAUUGCCCAUUUUUAUUACACUGCUGCUGAUACAAAUGCAGUAACAGAGAUAUCACAUAAAUAUCAUGAUAUAUGUUACCUCUAACUGAGUUGCUCAUUAAGUUUUAAGUUCGUUUCUCAAUCCAUCCCUUAUAUGCUUUGUGUGCUUGCGGUAGUGUAUUUUCCUGUCAAAAUUCACUAUCGGAAAAAGAUUUCAGUAAGCCCCAUGCGUUUUAAAAGCAACUAUUUUUAAAAUAUGGUGGAUAUUUUCAUUUCAGAGCUGUUGUCUCUACCAAUAGGGCUGAGAAAAAUCCUCAGCUCCUUCAAUAGGAAGAUGUUAUUGCAACCAGUGCUGAAGAGUUUUCUUCUAAUGCAAAGCUUCUAUUUAGAAAACUCCAUAAAAUCUCCACGAAAAUUAAGAAAUAUUUAUUAUGCUCAAUUUUAACUGAGUUUUCUUCAUUCUUUUUCCUUAAUCGUAUGCUCAAUUUUAUAGAUUUCAGCAGAUUGUAGUGUAAAAUAUUUAUCCUAGGUGAAUGAGGAAGAAACCUCCCUCUUUGACAUGCUCUGGUUAUUACUUGCAAGUCUUAUAUUUGUGCCAAUAUUUCAAAAGAUCCCUGGAGGUAAGUCAGUUACCAUGAUUUCUGAGUGUUGAAUUGAACAUAAUCUAUUAUCAUAGUAUAAUAAAGUUGCUUGUCUAGGACUACAUGUUUUAGACAUAUGUGGUUAAGACUGAGCCCCUUAGUUGCUUCAACGGAAAUUUGAUGGCAAUUAGUUAUAAUCAAUGUUUUAUAAAUUGGAUUGGUACUUGAACUGAUGAAUAGAGUUUUUUUUCUUUUUAGUUUUGAGGUCUGGUGAAGGUGGAAAAGGGUUUUAAGCACAUACACCUAUAUAUUCUAUGAAUAUAUGACGUUAUACAAAUAUGAAUAUUUAACACAUACAUAUAUACUUAAGAUUGAAGUAUCUUUGAAAGAGUACAGUAAAUGUAUUUACCUAUACAAUACAUUUAUAUUGAUGGCAUAACAUUCUAUAAUAAAUAAUCAAGCUUAGCAAUAGAUAAAUACAAUAUUAUUCUAAAGUUCUCUUCAUUUGAAGGAUUUAAUAUUUAGAAUGUAAUGUGAUAUUUAAUCAACAGACACAGUUUGGCUUAGUGGCACCAACAUUUUGUUUGAUCCUCAGGCAAACCGUGUUCAGUUUGCAUGGUUUAAACGGUUCAGAAUAGUUUUCAAACACGGGUUUCUGAGGCCUUAUCAUACUUAUCAUAUGUUUGUUCAUUAGUGUUGAUUUGUGGGUUAUAAUAACCUAGAUAGGAAACAAGAAAAAAGAGGAAGAAUACUUACUGCAUUUUAGGGAUGAUUUAGUCAUUGACAAAUUGUAUCAUGCUUCUUAAUUUCACAUGUUUCUGGGAAAAGCUAUUUAUUGGCAUGUAACAUUUCUAUGCCAUGAUGUUUUCUUAUGAAUCAAGGGCAAUUCAUUUUAGGUAUGUACAAUAUUCUUUUAAGUUACGCUGCAUUUGAACUUCAAAGUUAAUAGUUAGUCAUAAUCAUUGUCAUAUGUCUCAUUUGUCCAUGUUUAAGAAUCUGCACUAUCAUAAAAUUGUUAACUGAUGAUGAGCAGUGUACUUUUGAAAACUCUAAGUGUUGGCCUUUUUUUAAUUUAGCGGACGGGGAGCUGAAAACUAGGUUUGUAGUCUUGUCUUUGGAAUGAAAGGUGUGAUUCUUGACGUGUUAAUUUUAAUGUCUUUGCAUAUGAAUAUUGACAUAUGGUUCUUUGCAUAUGAACAUUGACAGAUGGGAUUAGGAAAGACACUGAAAGCUAUUUCAUUUUUAAGCUAUUUGAAAGAGGACAAGUUGUCACAUGGGCCAUUUUUAAGCUAUUUCAAAGAUUUUUAUUAGCAUCUUGACAUGAGAACUUAUAAACUAUGAAAAAGGAGAUUCGAUAUGUGAUGCUGGUUUUCUUGGUUAUUGUCCUAACUUGCUCGCUUAGAUAUUUAGUAUCUGUAUAAAUAUUUCAGUUGAAUGUACAACAACUUUUAUAUUUUAUCUUCAUUUCUAUGACCUAUGUAUCUCUUGCAAAUGGUACUUUAUGAUACUCCAGUUGUUUAACAAGAGCAAAGGCAACAAGUUAGACACCUAGAAGAUUAUCGUUAUCCAAAAAGUAUGUUUUACUUAUUUCAAUAUUCAAUUGAUCAUUUGUAAACUAUUGUUAUUAAUUGCAGGCUACCUAAAAAACUGUCAACAUAUGCACUUGGAUUAGCAGUAUAGUUUAUAUAAUGUAACAUUUAUAUGGUUAUCAUGUUUGUGUUUGUUGGGAUGAGAAAAGCGAGAGCUAUAUCCCAACAUCCUUUAUUGUAACUUAAGUUCUUUAUUUAUAGUUAUUAGACAUUUCAUUUUACACUUACCGGGUUAUCUUUUCUUGGAUUACUCACAUACAGGGACAUAUGUAAUAAUUGUGGUUGCAUUCAUUUUGUAUUGUUUAGAUUAAUUUGGAAUAUCUAUAUUGAUACAUUCAAUCUAGAAAAACUAAAACAAUUUUAUAAUUUUUUUCAUUAAUUUAGAAACUUGUAUAAGAUUUCAAACUAGACAAAAUUACUCAAGAGUGAAUUUUUAGUUUUGAA